GACGAACGCUGGCGGCGGGCUUAACACAUGCAAGUCGAACGGAAAGGCCCUGCUAUUGUGGGGUUCUCGAGUGGCGAACGGGUGAGGAACACGUGAGUAACGGGCCCUUGACUUUGGGAUAACUUAAGGAAACGGGGGCUAAUACAGGACAGGAGCUGCUGCAGCAGGGUGGGGGUUGGAAAGUCUCUGCUGUUGGGGAUGGACGCGCGGCUUAUCAGCUUGUUGGUGGGGGAGUGGCUGACCAAGGCUGUGACGGGUACCCGGCCUGAGAGGGUGGCCAGGCACAUUGGGCCUACGGUACGCACCAGACUGCUACGGUAGGCAGCAGUCGGGAAUCUUACACAGUGGGCGCACGCCUGUUGCAGCAGCGCCCCGUUCGGGAUGACCGCCUUUUGGUUAUAAACCGCUUCAGCCUGUGACGAAGCGUUAGUGACGGUAAUGAGUAAAUAAGCACCGGCUAACUACGUG
rnacentral:rRNA from 1 species